rnacentral:rRNA from 1 species
GCCUACGGGGGGCAGCAGUGGGGAAUAUUGCACAAUGGGCGAAAGCCUGAUGCAGCGACGCCGCGUGAGUGAAGAAGUGUUUCGGUAUGUAAAGCUCUAUCAGCAGGGAAGAAAAUGACGGUACCUGACUAAGAAGCCCCGGCUAACUACGUGCCAGCAGCCGCGGUAAUACGUAGGAGGCAAGCGUUAUCCGGAAUGACUGGGCGUAAAGGGUGCGUAGGUGGUUCAGCAAGUUAGUAGCGUAACUCCGGGGCUCAACCUCGGCACUACUACUAAAACUGUUGGACUUGAGUGCAGGAGGGGCA